rnacentral:rRNA from 1 species
GGAGGGUGCAAGCGUUAUUCGGAAUUACUGGGCGUAAAGCGCACGUAGGCGGCCUUGUAAGUCAGGGGUGAAAUCCCACGGCUCAACCGUGGAACUGCCUUUGAAACUGCAGGGCUUGAAUCCUGGAGAGGGUGGCGGAAUUCCUGGUGUAGGAGUGAAAUCCGUAGAUAUCAGGAGGAACACCGGUGGCGAAGGCGGCCACCUGGACAGGUAUUGACGCUGAGGUGCGAAAGUGUGGGGAGCAAACAGGAUUAGAUACCCUGGUAGUCCACACCGUAAACGAUGGAUACUAGGUGUCGGGGACUUGAUCUUCGGUGCCGUCGUAACGCGUUAAGUA